UCUCUCAGCUGAGAAUCUAUCAGGAAGAUUAUCAGAAGGAGAAGUUGGAGAAGGAAAAAUUUCAGAGGCUGCUGAAGCAUCAGAAACAGGUUCCCAGUGAGAGGAGGCCAUCAGACCCACCGCCCGGAGCCCCAGGGGCAUACUGCCCCCCUCCCUACCAAAUACAGUACCCCCCCCUCCCUCACCCUGCCGCUGGCCUUGCAGGCUACGAGUGGCAGAUUCACUACCCUCCUGCUGGACCCGGUGCACAUGCCCAUUUCCGAGGGUCGGAGUUUCCCUGGAAUGCCCCAUUCCCGGCUGCACGGAGCCAGCACGCUGCAGAGACAGACCGGCCCAAGACUGAUGGGAAAGAACCUACAUCUCCCAGGCUUGGCAGAGGGCAGCAUUGAGGGAGGAGGAACCAAGUUAUUCUGAGCUGACCUGUAUGGAGUCUGGUGGUUUGACCAUCACAAGUCAACUGGACUUUACCUUCCUUCAAAGGCAGUGUGAAUCGCAAAGGCUUCUGUCCCUGAGGUUGUUUUGAUGCUGUAGUCUUGUGUCCACUAGCAGAUACUGCAGCACCCCAUUGGCUGGGGGUGGGCUGUGUGAUAAUUUUUUGGUCAAUAUUGGACUGCCCUCCUCCACUUCCAUAUGUUGUCUGCUGCCUGUCCUCCAUCUUGUUUCUCCCUUGCCUCCAUUUUGUAUGAUCAGGUAAAUUUCAAGGUUGGGAGUUCACAAUCCACCUUCCAUGUUUGUGGUUGAAAGAUAUGAGAAAAAGGUUCGGGACAUUCAAUAAAUUCACCUGUCAAUAUA